UACGUAGGGUGCAAGCGUUGUCCGGAAUUAUUGGGCGUAAAGAGCUCGUAGGCGGUCUGUCGCGUCGAAUGUGAAAACCCGGGGCUCAACCCCGGGCCUGCAUUCGAUACGGGCAGACUAGAGUUCGGUAGGGGAGUCUGGAAUUUCUGGUGUAGCGGUGAAAUGCGCAGAUAUCAGGAGGAACACCGGUGGCGAAGGCGGGACUCUGGGCCGAUACUGACGCUGAGGAGCGAAAGCGUGGGGAGCGAACAGG
rnacentral:rRNA from 1 species